AGCUUAUUUAUAGGCCACGCCUACUAAUCCCAAAGCCUGGGUUGGGAACCACUGCCCCUCCUCCAGCCUCUCCCCUAGAACUCCAGGGCUAAACUCCUCAGUCUGCAGCGGAACAGAGUUCAAACUGCUUUGCAGGACAUUUCUGAUUUCCCCAGCCAAAAGCUCAGAGCAGAAGAGACGAUGCCAAGCAAGAGGAAGAAGAACAGGAGGAGGAUGAGGAGAGUGCGGGCCCAGCGGAGGGCGCUAGAGGAGCAGCAAGGGUCUGCAGGGAAAGGAACCUCUUGUCCAAGAGUUUAUAAAGACUCUAAGGGUCCAAAAUCAGCUUUAACUACAACUUCAGUGGAGGACCUUCUGCAGGCUCCAGUGCAAGCCCUAGCUGAUGUCUGUGAUUCAGUCCAGCGGUUUGAAUAUCAUCAGGCUAGACCUCCACGCAGUGUUCCAGCCCCAGUAGAAACAACCACAGAGGCUUCAGGAGAAAUGGUUGCUGAGGUUCUAGUAGAAAUAUCUGGACAAACUCCAGCAGAAGCAACUGUAGAGGCUCCAGAAGAAACGAUUGCAAACACUCUAGGAGCAACAAUUGUAAAGGCUUCAGGAGAAACAAAUGCAGAGGCCCCAGGAGGAAAUAUUGCAGAGGCUCCAGAAGAAAAAGCUGUACAGACUCAAGGAGAAAUGAUUGCAGAGGCUCGAGAAGAAAUAACUAUAGAGACUCCAGAAGCAACAAUUGCAGAGGCUCUAGGUGAAACAAUUGCAGAGGACCCAGGAGAAACAACUGCAGAGACUCUAGGAGAAAUAUUUAAAGAGGUUCCAGGAGAAAUUACUACAAAGCCUCCUGGAGAAACAGCUGCAGAGGCCCAAGAAGAAAUGUUUGCAAAUGCUUCAAGAGAUACAUUUGCAGAGACUCCAGUAGAAACACCUGUUGAGGAUUCAAGAGAAAUGUUUUCAAAGGCUCCAAAAGAAACAAUUGCAGAGGCUCCAGUAGAAACACCUGUUGAGGCUUCAGGAGCAACAACCGCAGAUGCUUCAGGAGAAAUGUGUACAGAAGCUCUAGAAGAAGCAUAUGUAGAGAUUCCAGAAGCAACAACUGCAGAGACUCAAGGAGAAAUGGUUACAGAGGCUCUAGAAGAAGCAUAUGUAGAGAUUCCAGAAGCAGCAACUGCAGAGACUCUAGGAGAAAUUAUUACAGAGGCUCCAGAAGAAGCAUAUGUAGAGAUACCAGGAGCAACAACUGCAGAUGCUUCAGGAGAAAGUUUUAGAGAGGCCCGAGGAGAAAUGUUUACAGAGGCUCCAAAAGAGGCAUAUGUAGAGAUUCCAGAAGCAGCAACCGCAGAGACCAGAGGAGAAAUGGUUACAGAGGCUCCAAAAGAAGCAACUAUAGAGAUUCUAGAAGCAGCUACUGCAGAGGCUCCAGGAGAAAGGUUUACAAAGGCUCCCAGAGAAACAAUUUCAGAGUCUCAAGAAGAGGCUCCCGCUGAAAUGUCUACAGUGUCCCCAGUAAAUAUGUCUGCAGUGACUCCAGGAGAAAUAAUUACAGAGACUCAAGCAGAAGCAACUGCAGAAACCCCAGGAAAAACAACAAUAGAGGCUAUAGUAGAAGAAUCUGUAGAAGCUCCAGCAGAUACAGUGGCAGUGGAGGAGGAAAAUAUCUUCAUUCCAAACCUUGAGAUAAUGGUAAAAGCUGAGGAACAGACUAUACCUCAGGUGGUCAGAGCCAAUGAAGCUGGGCCAACCAAGUAUGAGUCAGGGGCUGAAACUGAAACAGUCUCCAAGUUACAAUCAGACAUUGGUGAAGCUGAAGCUGUGUAUGCUGAACAGUGGGAGAAAUCUGCUUCAGAAACUGCAGUGGAACCUUUACCUGUUCUAGAGGAACAGAGAGAACCCUCCCAGGAAGAAACUACAGGGAGAGUGACUGAGAUAAAGGAAACACUGCUGUCCCAGUCUACUGAAGCUGAAACCAGAGGAGAGUUUUCCAUGGAAACAGAUGCUGCAGAGGAACCACUGGUGUGUUCUUUCCCGGAACCUGAACUUCUAUCAGGGCAGAUCACACACACCAGCCCCUCACACACACAGGAAGCUGCUUCAAGUGACCCAUCCACUACAGAUGACCCUGCAGAUGAUCCUGUUGAUGAUCCUGUAGAUGAUCUGAUGGAAGAGCCAGUAGCAGAAAUGCAGAGUCACACACACCUCAGCUCUAUGGAGGGGAGGAACCGCUGGUGAUCUGGAUCUGCUGAACUGUGCAUUUCUGUCUUUAAACAGUGUCAGAUAUUGAUUAUUAUUACUCUAAUGGGUGCUGAUCAGUUUUGGAAUUAUUCAUUAAAGCUGGCAGAUAAAUGUAUGUUUUAUAUGUGUAUUAAAACAGUUGUUGUAUUUUGGAGGAAACCGAAAAAAGUGUUUGGAUUUGGUGAUCUGGACUGAUUGGAUUAAUCAAUACAAGAUUAAUUCAAACUAAACUUAACCUUUUUAGAAACACUGUUACUUCAACAGCUUUUGAUCCAUUAUUGAAAAAGAAUGUUUUUUUUUUUGUUGUUGAUACAUUAUUUACGGAUUCCUGCAGCUGGUCCUCUUUUACUAUCCUUACGUUUUUUUUUAUUUGAUUUUCCUUUAGAUUAUUUUUUUCAUGUAUUGCAUAGACUAGGUGUUUGGUGCUAAACUGCCAGUGUGUUUGGAAGGGUAGAGAAGCUUCAAUUGGAAUAAAAAAAUAAUUUCCCCC
rnacentral:lncRNA from 1 species